UACGUAGGGUGCGAGCGUUUAAUCGGAAUUACUGGGCGUAAAGCGUGCGCAGGCGGUUCGUGAUGUCUGGUGUGAAAGCCCCGGGCUUAACCUGGGAAUUGCAUUGGAAACUAGCGGGUUGGAGUGUGGCAGAGGGGGGGUGGAAUUCCACGUGUAGCAGUGAAAUGCGUAGAGAUGCGGAGGAACACCGAUGGCGAAGGCAGCCCCCCUGGGUCGACACUGACGCUCAGGCACGAAAGCGUGGGGAGCAAACAGG
rnacentral:rRNA from 1 species